GAUCAUGGCUCAGGACGAACGCUGGCGGCGUGCCUAACACAUGCAAGUCGAGCGGAGACAGUGAGUAGCUUGCUAUGAGCUGUUUUAGCGGCGGACGGGUGAGUAACGCGUGAGCAACCUUUCCCAGACAGGGGAAUAACACACCGAAAGGUGUACUAAUACCGCAUAAGACCACGGGAUCACAUGGUUCUGGGUAAAGAAUAUCGUUUGGGGUUGGGGCGUCGCGUCCGAUUAGGUAGUUGGUGAGG
rnacentral:rRNA from 1 species